GCCAAUGUGGUGUAGUGGUUUGAGCAUUGGGCUGUGACUCUGGAGUCCAGGGUUCAAAUCCCUGCUCAGCCA